rnacentral:rRNA from 1 species
GACGAACGCUGGCGGCGUGCUUAACACAUGCAAGUCGAACGGAAAGGCCCUGCUUUUGUGGGGUGCUCGAGUGGCGAACGGGUGAGUAACACGUGAGUAACCUGCCCUUGACUUUGGAAUAACUUCAGGAAACUGGGGCUAAUACCGGAUAGGAGCUCCUGCUGCAUGGUGGGGGUUGGAAAGUUUCGGCGGUUGGGGAUGGACUCGCGGCUUAUCAGCUUGUUGGUGGGGUAGUGGCUUACCAAGGCUUUGACGGGUAGCCGGCCUGAGAGGGUGACCGGCCACAUUGGGACUAAGAUACGGCCCAGACUCCUACGGGAGGCAGCAGUGGGGAAUAUUGCACAAUGGGCGGAAGCCUGAUGCAGCAACGCCGCGUGCGGGAUGACGGCCUUCGGGUUGUAAACCGCUUUCGCCUGUGACGAAGCGUGAGUGACGGUAAUGGGUAAAGAAGCACCGGCUAACUACGUG